rnacentral:lncRNA from 1 species
GAAAUUCAAUGGUGUGGUGAACCCUAUCCUUGGGUGAUUGGAAACUUUUCCAGACAUGGUUGAGGUGUGUGUUGUGUUCUAGGUCAUCUGGAAACAAACUACUGUGACCAUUCUGUGUGUUUUGGCUGUGUAUGUAUCCCUUUGUAAUAGUGGGAAUCCUAAUCCCAUAAUGGUACCAAUUGGAUAACAGAGUCACUCGUGCAAUCUCAAAGAAAAAUUUAAAACUUUAAUAACUUUAAAUUGAUGAUUGUGUUGGGACACGUCAAGAAUUGGGGAUACCCACUAAGGGAUUACGGAUGCCUCGAUUUGAAUGAAAACUUGCGGAAAAUUCUAGUAUGUGAAUUUUUGGGAUAAAUAUGGAUU